rnacentral:rRNA from 1 species
AGAGUUUGAUCCUGGCUCAGGAUGAACGCUAGCGGAGGCCUAACACAUGCAAGCCGAGCGGUAUUGUUUCUUCGGAAAUGAGAGAGCGGCGUACGGGUGCGGAACACGUGUGCAACCUACCUUUAUCUGGAGGAUAGCCUUUCGAAAGGAAGAUUAAUACUCCAUAAUAUAUUGACUGGCAUCAGUUGAUAUUGAAAGCUCCGGCGGAUAAAGAUGGGCACGCGCAAGAUUAGCUAGUUGGUGAGGUAACGGCUCACCAAGGCGAUGAUCUUUAGGGGCCUGAGAGGGUGAUCCCCCACACUGGUACUGAGACACGGACCAGACUCCUACGGGAGGCAGCAGUGAGGAAUAUUGGUCAAUGGGUGCAAGCCUGAACCAGCCAUCCCCGCGUGAAGGACGACUGCCCUAUGGGUUGUAAACUUCUUUUGUAUAGGGAUAAACCUACUCUCGUGAGGGUAGCUGAAGGUACUAUACGAAUAAGCACCGGCUAACUCCGUG